GUCCACUCCCAGCCCAUUCCUUCUCCUUCUUCGUUUCCUUUCUUUUCCUUUCUUCUUCCUCAUCUUUUACCACCUUCACACAUCUCCAUUAAGAUAUGAAUCCCGGGAAACCCAUUUUCGGAGAUUCAUAAAUUCGCAUAUUCCUAGGACUUGCUCUCAAACCUCUCUUUCUCAUCGAUCAAGCCAUGGUUUUCAGCAAGGAAACGAGCUCGCACCCGUAGAAGGUAUCUCAUUUUCAUAGCCAAUACUUUAGCCAAUCUUUUCAAUUCGGCCACACCCACGAAUGUGCACCCACUGAUCCUAGGAUUGUUGCCCAAGACCCAUGAUAGGUAAGUCUUCAUUUACUCAUUUAUUUUUAUUUAUUUAUUUAUUUUCUUUGGCUUGACAUUGAGGAAUGUGGGCUUAAUUUGGUUAUUGAUAUGAAUUUUGGGCCCAUAUACUUUGGACUGGUUGGUGAUUGAGAUUUGGGCCUAUUAUAUUAGUUAGAUUUGGGCCGGUGCAUUUAUCAAAUAUUGUAUUGGACUUGGCCUUUUUGCUAAUACAUGGUUGUCCUAUUUCCUUUUGUUGUUGCCGAGAGCGGGAAGAGAGGUGCAAUGUGGAUUGGGAGAAGUUAGAAGUGGUUGAAGCAGGUUAUGGGCACAUAUAGAAAGUUGGUGGAGCCGGGUGUGGGAUAAAGAGAUCACUUGCAGCGAGAAAGGAGGAGAAGACUGAAGAGAAGACUUUUUCUAAUCUUCUUUGAUUUUUCGAUGAUUUUUGUGAGAGGGUUGAGGGUUUGUUUGUAUUUUUGAGCUUCAUUUUGGAAGCUUUUGGAGGGUCAUUGCUGUUAUUGGGACUGCGCUUCUAAGGUUACUCCUACAUCCUUGUCCUCUAAGUUUUGUUGUAUAUAUUCAUUUCAGUUUUCUUCUUGUGUACAUGUGGAUCUAUUACCAGUGUUUAGAUUUUUAUGGUAUAUGUAUGUUUAAUUUGUUAUUCAUAGAUUAA